rnacentral:tRNA from 1 species
AGUCUUAUAGUCAACAAUGACAUUAAAUUGCAAAUUUAAAGGAAAAUCUUAAUUUUAAGGCUU